CAAAUGGCAAAAGUCGUAGGAAUAUUGUUUGUCGUCAAUACGUAGUACAACUACGUCAGUAGUCUAUUAUAUAAUAAGUUCAACUGUUCAUGCUGUUGGCGGCAAUUUCAAAUUAGAAGACGAAAUUCGUAUCUUUUCAAUUUGGAGGCAGGGGUUCAAAUUAGCGGUGGUCCGAGGUCCGCGACCUUCCACUUUCGAAUUGGUUACUAGCCACGCCCGACGGGCCUUCCACUCUGAGACAACUAUAUCACAGCUAUAGUAGUCUCAGUUCCACUUGAAAGAAAAUAAAAAAUAGCUUUGCAAACCUUUUCGCCAAAGUCUCCAAAUCAACGAUCUCAAAACUUAUUUUAAUCAUUAUUAUUCAUGACAGCGAUGUCAAUUUUGUUCAAUCGCUAGCUAUAUACAGAAAAUCGCCGACAAAAAAUGUGUUAAUACGAGUAAAAUCGUAUCUGACUGACAAAAACAACAUUGGAACACAAUGACAAUGGCUGCCGUGAAAAGACAAUUACAAUUUCGGAUCCGAUUCCGGAAGCGGAUAAGGGUAAUUCCGGGUUUUUGGCGAAUCCAGGCAGGUGACAAAAUACAUCUAUGCAUGGUAAAUGAAUAUAAACACUAGAAUUGAAAACCAAAAGAUAUAUGUAAAAGAAAGAAAAAGCAGAAAAUAUUUUAAACAGAAACUCAAAAUUACUUUUGACAAAUUUUAAUGUCAAAAUCCAAUACAAUGUGACAG
rnacentral:lncRNA from 1 species